GCUUUUUCUCCGGCCGAAGAGCAGUGAUCCGAAGCAGUUCCGGUACUGUGGAGGUACCGGUAACUAGAGGCUGCCCGCAGGGAUCAAUCAGCGGCCCAUUUAUCUGGGACAUACUGAUGGAUGUACUGCUUCAGCGUCUCCAGCCGUAUUGCCAGCUGAGUGCAUACGCGGAUGACUUGCUGCUUCUCGUCGAGGGAAAUUCCCGAGCUGUGCUAGAGGAAAAAGGAGCGCAACUAAUGUCCAUCGUAGAAACGUGGGGAGCGGAAGUUGGCGUUGCCGUCUCGACCAGCAAGACGGUAAUCAUGCUGCUGAAAGGUGCCUUGAGACGUGCGCCUACGGUGAGGUUUGCUGGAGCGAACCUUCCGUAUGUGCGUAGCUGUCGGUACCUUGGCAUCACGGUCAGUGAAGGAAUGAAAUUCCUCACGCACAUAGCUUCGCUUCGCCAGCGGAUGACAGGAGUCGUUGGAGCAUUGGCGCGUGUGCUUCGAGCCGACUGGGGCUUCAGUCCUCGAGCCAGGCGGAUUAUAUAUGACGGACUCAUGGCACCUUGUGUGCUGUUUGGUGCCCCGGUAUGGUAUGACACCGCGGAACAAGUAGCUGCCCAGAGGCGACUAGCCUCCUGCCAGAGGCUAAUCCUGCUUGGAUGCCUUUCGGUAUGCCGAACAGUGUCCACAGUGGCACUGCAGGUACUUGGUGGAGCUCCCCCGCUUGAUCUGGCUGCUAAGUUAUUAGCGAUUAAAUACAAGCUAAAACGUGGAUUCCCGCUGGAGGAGAACGACUGGCUUUACGGCGAGGACAUUGCGUGUCUUAGCUGGGAGCAGAGGAAGACUCGCCUAGAGGAGUGUUUAAUCCAGAGUUGGCAGAACAGAUGGGACGAUGACAGCGAACCAGGACGGGUGACGCAUAGGUUUAUCCCAUACGUCACUCUUGCCUAUCGGGAUCCAAGUUUUGGAUUCUCGAUGAGGACGUCUUUCCUGCUUACAGGGCACGGGUCGUUCAAUGCAUUUUUGCACGGGAGAGCCCUCAGCGAUACCACUGCUUGCGCAUGUGGAGAUCCAUAUGAGGACUGGAUGCAUAUCUUGUGCGCUUGCCCCCUAUAUGCAGAUCUGCGGGACCUAGAUGGACUUGGAGUGCAGCGCCUUGGCGAAAACUGGAUCUUCGAGGGAAUCCUGGAUGAUCAAGAGAAGACUCAACGGCUGGCAAUGUUUGCGGAAGAAGUGUUCCUGAGGAGGAGGGGCGUUUAGCUCAACAUCUCUGCCGUGUGGUUAGCGGGCGAGAAUACUACCACAGUCCGCUGUUGCUUGUCGUAAGAGACGACUAAUACAGCGAUAGGAUUCCUCUAACCCUGCUUGUCGGAGCAAAAGGGGGAGGCCCACCGAGCCUCUUUUCGGUACCACGGGUUGAGCAGCUAUCCAAGACUGCUCAUUGAGGUAGGCCCCCUGGUGGGAGUAUCGUGGUGGCUGUGGUUGGUACCCAUAUCGCGGGUAGAGCCUUCAUGCUCGACGUUUGAGUUACGGUGCUAGUUGCGCAAAACUCGGGUGCUGUGACCCAGAGAUCAGUAGAGAUUUUAGGUAGAUCUCGCUCCUCAGCAAGGGGGAGUGCUUGCCCGGCAAGCAAGUACUCGAAUUGCUACCGGGGUGGUCGCUAUGUACAUAGCUAUAGCUUCUAGUCCGGGACGCUUGUCUGGCGUAUCCAGACACAUGCACCAUAUGCUCACUUGUGGGUGUAUAGGGUGCCGUGGUUGUAAUCCCUUCAGUGUGGAACACGCCACGUAAAAUAAGUUCGGAGGGAUCCGAAAAAGCAUACAUUGUCCCUAUCUACUAUCUAGCGAAACCACAGCCAAGGGAACGGGCUUGGAAUAAUUAGCGGGGAAAGAAGACCCUUUUGAGCUUGACUCUAAUCUGGCAGUGUAAGGAGACAUAAGAGGUGUAGAAUAAGUGGGAGAUAUUAGACCUCGGUUUGGUAUCGUCAAUGAAAUACCACUACUCUUAUUGUUUCCUUACUUACUUGAUUAAAUGGAACGUGUAUCAUUUCCUAGCCAUUAUACGGAUAUAUUUAUUAUAUCUUAUGGUAUUGGGUUUUGAUGCAAGCUUCUUGAUCAAAGUAUCACGAGUUUGUUAUAUAAUCGCAAACAAAUUCUUUAAUAAAACGAUGCAUUUAUGUAUUUUUGAUUUGAAAAUUUGGUAUAACUCCAAUUACUCAGGUAUGAUCCAAUUCAAGGACAUUGCCAGGUAGGGAGUUUGACUGGGGCGGUACAUCUCUCAAAUAAUAACGGAGGUGUCCCAAGGCCAGCUCAGUGCGGACAGAAACCACACAUAGAGCAAAAGGGCAAAUGCUGACUUGAUCUCGGUGUUCAGUACACACAGGGACAGCAAAAGCUCGGCCUAUCGAUCCUUUUGGUUUAAAGAGUUUUUAACAAGAGGUGUCAGAAAAGUUACCAUAGGGAUAACUGGCUUGUGGCGGCCAAGCGUUCAUAGCGACGUCGCUUUUUGAUCCUUCGAUGUCGGCUCUUCCUAUCAUUGUGAAGCAAAAUUCACCAAGCGUUGGAUUGUUCACCCAUGCAAGGGAACGUGAGCUGGGUUUAGACCGUCGUGAGACAGGUUAGUUUUACCCUACUAAUGACAAAACGUUGUUGCGACAGCAUUCCUGCGUAGUACGAGAGGAACCGCAGGUACGGACCAAUGGCACAAUACUUGUUCGAGCGAACAGUGGUAUGACGCUACGUCCGUUGGAUUAUGCCUGAACGCCUCUAAGGUCGUAUCCGUGCUGGACUGCAAUGAUAAAUAAGGGGCAAUUUGCAUUGUAUGGCUUCUAAACCAUUUAAAGUUUAUAAUUUACUUUAUAAACGACAAUGGAUGUGAUGCCAAUGUAAUUUGUAACAUAGUAAAUUGGGAGGAUCUUCGAUCACCUGAUGCCGCGCUAGUUACAUAUAAAAGCAUUAUUU
rnacentral:rRNA from 1 species